rnacentral:misc_RNA from 1 species
AAGGGAACAGGACAAAGCGGCCCAGACAAGAAAAACGCGUGCAGCAACACGCACACAGUGACACCCCGAGAGUCUCCGCUUCAUCCCACUCACCCCCAAACACAAGGUUAAUUCGAUCUAUUCAAAUCAUGUCGGACGAUGCAAAGUCGCGCGUGCAGGUCUCUCUCCGCAUUCGGCCUGCAAAGAAAGGGGCUCGGCAUAGCACUAAGGUUGUAGUGCGCGGUGCCGAGGGCGGUGAUGUCGUCGUGGAUGACGAGCAAAGGACGAAGCGUGUGUACCACUUCGACCAUGUGUUCAGUGGCGGCCAGGCGGAGGUGUUCGAGGCUAUCGGGCGGCCGAUGCUGAGGGAGGCAUACAAGGGGUUCAACGUGUGCCUGUUUGCGUACGGGCAGACGGGGAGCGGAAAGACGUACAGCCUGCUCGGGGACAUGGGGUGCGAGGAGCGCGCGGGGGUGGCGCCGCGUUUUGUGCGGUGCCUGUUCGACGAGGCGCAGCGGAUGGUGGACGAGGACGCUGACCUGACGAUCAAGGUGUCGCUGUCGAUGAUCGAGGUGUACAUGGAGAAGGUGCGCGACCUGCUUGCGCCGCGGCAGCGCGGGCAGGAGCCGGAGUCGCUGGAGAUCCACGAGGACCCGAGUCGGCGCGUGUACGUGCGUGGCGCGAGCGUGCACCAGGUGCUGAGCGCUGAGCGGAUGAUAGAGCUGCUGCAGAAGGGCAAUGCGAACCGUCAGACGGCUGAGACGAGGAUGAACGAAACGAGCUCGCGGUCGCACGCGAUCAUGCAGAUCUCGCUGUCGCAGGAGUUCGCGUGUGUGAAAAAGAAGGACUUGGAGUGCGUUGUGUCGCUGGUGGACCUUGCGGGGAGCGAGCGGCAGACGAAGACAGAGUCGAGCGGGCAGCAGUUUGAGGAGGCAAAGAAGAUCAACCACUCACUGCUGAUGCUCGGGCGCGCGCUGAACUCCUUCAGCGAUCGCAAGGGCAGCGACGCCUUCAUCUCGCUGCGCGAGUCGAAGCUGACGCGGCUGCUGUCGGAGAGCUUUGGCGGGAACAGCAAGACGUGGAUGCUGGCGACGGUGUCACCGACCGCGUUCAAUCUGACGGAGUCCAUCUCCACGCUGGACUACGCCACCAACGCGAUGGCCAUCACAAACAAGGCGAAGGUGAACAGUGUCUUCAAGAGCCUGGAGCUGAAGGAGCUGAAGGCGGUUGUGUCAAGCUUAGAGAAGCAGCUGGAGAGUCUAGCGGCGGCGCGGGAUGCAAAGGAGGUGGAUGUGGCGAUACUGCAGGAGGAGCGGGAGGCGCUUCGUCUUGCUGUUCAUACCGCCCGCUCGCAAGACACCGCUGCGCAGCGGCUGCAAAGUACAGUGCAGCAUAUACAGCUCGGCAACAUUGCCCUUCGACGUCGAGUCGAGGCCGCCGAGAAGCGUAUGAUUUGGUCUCUAGACAACGAAGCCUCAUUUCUCUUUUACAAAGGCCGUUGCGCCAUUUCACUGCGGGGCGUGCUGCGUGGUGAGAAGUGGGCGUACCGCCUCGCACUACUAGCCGAAAACGGUCAGGCGACAUCUUCCACCUUGCAUGUGCAAGUAUUCUCCCUGAACAAAGACCUUACAGUGCUCGAGGAUCCAAUGGAGAUGGUGGGGCGGAGUAUUAAGUUCUGCCUGCGGAUAGUCGGUGCUGAGGGCCUCCCGCCGCAGUUCUGCCGACACUCGUUUUGCAAGCUCUCGCUGCUAUUCGAUCAGGAUAACCGCUACUUCACCACGAGCACUGCGGAGGACACUACAAAUCCGCGCUGGGAUCUCGUAAAGCGGUUUGAGCUGCCGCAUUUGACACCGGAGGUGAUUGCGCACUUUAACACUCAUCAUCUGUUUACGUUCGAGGUGUUUGGGUUUAGUACGUAGUGGAGAAAAUGUUGUUAGGGAGACAGCAGAGGUUUUGGCCCACACAUGUACCCCGCGCCAGACCUCACCUUCUUACCCCGUUGGCAUAAUACGAUGAUACGAUGAGACACUCUUGCUUCACUGUGCGCGCCCUUUCUGUGGUUGAGUGUGUUGUGUGUGCAUCACGGCCUCUGUGCUGCGUUUUCUUCCUUCUCCUCCGCUCAUAGCUGGCUCCGCUCUUUUUUCGGCAUUUUACACAUUUGUUUUGUUUCGCCUUUUCCUGUACUUGGCGGUCGUUUUCUUUUCGCCGUGUGUUUGUUGUGGCCAUUUAUGGGCCGGCGUGCCGCUUUGUGGUGUUGUGUUGCAUAUGCUGCUCGUCUCCCUCUCUCGCCUCCGUUUGCAUGAGAUAGCAUUUGCUCGCUUUUCUUUCACCGCCUCCUUUGCGCUCGUCUCUUCCCCCUCUCCCCUCGAAGGGUACACUUGCUCCAUGUCUGUCUCUUUCUGUCUCCCUUUCUUCCUCCUAUUGUGUUUCAUCAUCGCUCCACACGCGUUUUCUCACUUUCGUCUCGCUCGACCGCCCUCUCUCCCCCCUUUUCACGCGAGUGCCGCUUACCGCACGCCAG